GCCCCGAUAGCUCAGUGGCCAGAGCAACGGCUUUGUAAGCCGUAGGUCGCGGGUUCAAAUCCCGCCCGGGGCUCCA
rnacentral:tRNA from 1 species